GAGAAGAAACAUAAAAACUGCCUCGGUGAGAGUAGAAAAAACGAUCAAACCACAAAAAAAAGCCUUUAAUCUUCUCCUUUGUGUAUCAGUCAUCCAAAUUCAAAACUCUGAUCGUCUUCUAGAAAAAACUCAAGCAAUGAUCGAUCUAGCCUGGUCAGGCUGCUGCAACAAAUGUCGAUCCUUUUCAAUAACCGCAACAGUAUCAGGAGGUACUUCUUCAACCCAGCAUUGAGAGUUCCCUAUUUUGAAACCCAUCCUUGCUAUUGUAUGAGCAACUAAAUUAGAUCCUCGAUCUGCAUGUUGAAAAGAAAUAUAAUCAAAAUUAAGAGCCAUUAUUCUAUUUUCUUUAACAUAAACCCCAAUCGCAGAUCUAUCCAAAACCCCUUUGCACCUUUACGAUUAUCGUUCUAGAAUCUCCUUCCACUACCACCUUCCGGAAUCCCAUAUCUCUAGCAAAAGUAAUGGCAUGCAAGCAUGCCAAGGCCUCAGCUGCGAAAGCAUCUGCGACAUGACUAUAGAGAACCACUCCACUCCCCAUAGCCAAUCCCAAAUUGUUCCUGAUGACAACACCAGAACUGCACUGCUUUAAACGUUGGCAAAAUGCCGCAUCAAAUUCACCUUCACCGCCCUUCUAUCUGGGUGUAGCCAUUUGGACGACAUCAGCCUCUAUUUAAUAGGUAAUUUCUCCUUUAUUACAAUCAUUUCCAACAAAAAGCUUUCAAUCUUGGUCUUUGUCUCAUUAAUUGUUUGUUGUUUCCCUUCCAUUACAUGUUUAUUGCGAGCACACCACAUCGACCACAUAGUAAUCGAAAUUCUACUGCAAGUUCCUGCUCUAUUUGUUUGGAAAAUGUAACAUACCCAGUCCCAAAAAUUAUUCAAAGUAGUCUUAGUAACCCAAUUCAAUCCCAACCGAUGCCACACUUCUUUUGCAGGACCACAUUCUAGAAUAGCAUGUAAAAUUGAUUCUGAACAGUGACCAUAUCUCGGACAAGUUGGAGCAGAGGCAAUUUUUUGAUCGUACAAAAUAUGGGAAGUGGGUAUAGAAUUAUGCAUCAUUCGCCAUAUAGUGAUUUUACUUUUGGUUGGGAUAUCCAAUAGCCGUAGUUUUCUGUAAGUUUCAGUAUUUUACUUUAAGCGACGAUUACUCACACAGGUAGAACGGGUGAGAUGCGACAUUGGGGAGGAAAAGUGUUGCACGGUUUGUGGCACCGCUUUAGAGGACAUUUUCCACGCCCUUGGGGAUUGUGUUGCGGCUAAAGGCGUUUGGUCGAAAAUUAUACCAAUUGACAAGCAACACAGUUCUUUUCAAGUGAUUUAAAGGAAUUUUUUGCGUCAAAUUUCAGAAACAAUUAUAGUUUUUCUUAGUUUUUUUUCAAAAAUUACCGAAAUUGACCAAUUAUUUAAUUAUUUAUCGGAAUGGUCCAUUUUUCGCGAAAUCGCGUCUACGUCAGCGCGAUGUCAGGGUACGCGUCAGGAAAUCGCGUCCACGUCACCGCGAGUUGCUGACGUGGACGCGAUUUCGGCCCGCGCGUGAAUAGUACCCCACGGUCAAAAAUUUGACUCGUUUCGGAUUUGAUUUUAGCUUCCAAAAUAACACCGAAUGGCCUGAAACUGAUACUAACUGAUGCGGAACCUCGAAUCUAGACACAAGAGAAACACAAAUUAGAAAUAAAAACGAGAAUAAAUAAAAUUAGUUAAAUAAUAAUAAAAUGAUAGAUUUGCCCUAUGGAACCCUUGGUUAACUUGCAACCAAAAACGCCAAUGAUUGAGCGGCUCUCUACGAAACUCCUAGAAGAAGAACCUCUAGAAACACCGAUGAACGGGAAAGAAAUUUGAAUAUUUGUAACUCCGAAAUAUCCUCAAAAGUAACAUACUCCAAACUAAAUAGCAAGAGAAGAACCACUCUACUCUAAAAAAUUUGCCUCACACAAAUUUGGAAGAAAACAAAUACUCUCUUUUUCAUGUAUCAUCUUUCCAAUGUGUAGAAAGCAAGCCUAUUUAUAGGUAAAUUACAAGAGUAAUUGAAUCCUAAUAAAACUCUUUAAAAUUAUCUAAGAAAAUAAAAUAAAUAAUAACCUAACCAAUAAAAUUACUUAACUCAUAAGUGAUGUAUCCCAACCAGUGAGAAUUAAGUAAAUAAUAAUAAUAAUAAGAUACAUAAAAGAUUAAUCCAUCAAUUUAUGGGCUUUCACUAUUCUAAGAUUAGUCCAGUGAAUUGCAUUCCUGUAUUUGUCAACGUCACGAAUAUGAUGACUUAAAUUUGUAGCAACAAAGUCUUGGACAAAAGUAUUCAUCUUUGAUUUUAAUUGACGUGCCUUGCUUCGAGUGAUUGGACCACAAGGAAAAAUAACCCCU
rnacentral:lncRNA from 1 species